CGACAUCUAUUAGAAUCCCAAAUAGUGUGCUGAAGGAAUGGGGAACGAACACCUAUAUCCAUUUAAGGUAUUUAUGAGACCCGUUUAAGUGUUCUACGGAUACCAAUAUCCGUUUAAAUAAAAUACAACCCAAAUUAAAUAUUUUAUAAGGCUAAAAGAGGAACGAGUAGGUGUAGGGAACAAGACGCGGUGGUGGAAGGAGUAACGCCCCCG
rnacentral:lncRNA from 1 species